AUUGAACGCUGGCGGAAUGCUUUACACAUGCAAGUCGAACGGCAGCACGGACUUCGGUCUGGUGGCGAGUGGCGAACGGGUGAGUAACAUAUCGGAACGUAUCCAAUAAUGGGGGAUAACGGGUCGAAAGAUUCGCUAAUACCGCAUACGCCCUACGGGGGAAAGCUGGGGACCUUCGGGCCUGGCGUUAAUGGAGCGGCCGAUAUCUGAUUAGCUAGUUGGUGAGGUAAAGGCUCACCAAGGCGACGAUCAGUAGCUGGUCUGAGAGGGCGACCAGCCACACUGGAACUGAGACACGGUCCAGACUCCUACGGGAGGCAGCAGUGGGGAAUUUUGGACAAUGGGCGCAAGCCUGAUCCAGCCAUUCCGCGUGAGUGAAGAAGGCCUUCGGGUUGUAAAGCUCUUUCGCAAGGGAAGAAAACUUAGCCACUAACAUUGGUUGAGGUUGACGGUACCUUGAUAAGAAGCACCGGCUAACUACGUGCCAGCCGCCGCCGUAA
rnacentral:rRNA from 1 species